CCCUUAGAUGUUCUGGGCCGCACGCGCGCUACACUGAUGCAUUCAACAAGCCUAGCCUUGACCGAGAGGUCCGGGUAAUCUUUGAAACUGCAUCGUGAUGGGGCUAGAUUAUUGCAAUUAUUAAUCUUCAACGAGGAAUGCCUAGUAAGCGUGAUUCAUCAAAUCGCGUUGAUUACGUCCCUGCCCUUUGUACACACCGCCCGUCGCUCCUACUGAUUGGGUGAUCCGGUGAGCUGUUCGGCCAUAGCAAUGUUUCUUGAGCAGGGCAAUGAAUGUUUCGCAAACCUUGCCACUUAGAGGAAGGAGAAGUCGUAACA
rnacentral:rRNA from 1 species